UUUUACUUCCUUUCCUUUUCUCUUCUCGACUUCUUUCUUCUCUGCUCAAAAGAAACAGAAAGAAUGAGUGAAAUCGAUUAAGAGAAAUCGAGAGAAACCAAAAAUCAAACCGAAACCAGAAAUUAUACCGAUAUUCUUCAACUGAUUUUUGAUUUUGCAACCCUAAAAACUCGUAUGAAAAACCCUAAUUUACCAAUCAAAAUUUUUGAUUUUGUAAACUGAUUUUUGCUUUUAGUUUGAAACUCUCAGAAGAAUAAGAUUGAAUUGAAGAAGUAGAAACCCUAGAAAUCUCUAUCCUCAGAAGGGGAUUGAAGUAAAAUCCUUGAAGAUUCAGGUUCAAGAGUACAAACAACUGCUUUGAUGAACCUGCUAUAAUGGACUUUGAGGCCAAGCAAGUUUUUUAUUCUCAGGAUUUGAAGAAUCUUGAUUGGUCCGUUGUGAUUUGCUCACCAAUGGACAUGACAAGAAAUGUGGGCGACUUGAUAAAGUCUGAUUUCAAAGAAAUUUAAUCCGUAACUGUGGUAGAACGGCCUCAAAUCGAAGCAGUUCUGGUUCGUCUACAUCAACUACUACAUCAUCACAACAAAAUGUAUCCAACUCAUCAGCAAAACCGAAGCUGAUUGUUCAAGUCAAUAUUGUUGGCAUGAUCAAAGAAGAUGCGGCAGCGAGAUUCUCUACUAAGGUAGGAGAGCUCAUAAGGAGUCAUAUUCCUAUAUCAUACAAGGAGUGGAGGUUGGUCCCUGACAAUUUUAAAGACGACGUGUGGAAUACUUUGAUGGGUGAAUUUUCAUUAACUAUUGACCCAUCAGUCUGCCGUGGAAUCAUUGAAGUGUCAUUUCCACCAUACUAUAGGCGAUUCAAAUACGAGUUAAUGUAGGCAUUAAAAUGGAUAGUAAAAGCUCUUAGACAAGCAGAACAAGAAGCUCUUAGAGUAGAACAAGCAAUAAGGGAGGGAGUUGAAAUACCCGAGGCUGAGGAGGAAGAUGAAGCACUUCCAGAACUCACUCCGGGAAUCUGGGAGGGUGUAAGAGCAGAUGUUCCACCAGGGAUUAAUGGGAUUAAUCCAAAUAUCUAGGAGGAAUUUGUUGAUAUGGAAAAAAAUCCUGAAAAGUUAGCAAAGAAUAAGGUGAAUGCAGAAAGCAAUGCAAAGAGCACUUGGGAGGUGCACAUACCACAACAAGAAGCAUAAGUUAGACGAGAUGAGCGAAAAAGUGGUACCACCGUCGACUACAGAGAAAUGGUUAUAUGGACAUUUAAGACGUGACAACACUGUCCAUCCUAGUCCACUUGAAGUGCAUGGCAAAGUAUCAGGGGCUCUAGAGAGGAACAAAGGAAAAUAAGAUCAGCCAAGUUCUAGUAAUGUGGUUUCAGCUGAACUAGAGGAGAUGUUCGGAAGGAAAAAAAUUGGUGGGAUUCGUGAUUACUCAUCCCAUAUGUCGAAGAAGCAAGUUGGAACGGAAGCAAUUGUACAUUAUGGGAUUUACGGGCGGUAAACUGAUUGGUAUUGAAGGUGAAUUGGGGUCCUUGGGCAGCGCAGUGAAGGAGAUGUUGAACUUCAUGAAAUGCAAGGCACCUACAUCAUUAGCUCGUGCAUACACUUUCAUCCCAGAAAAAGGGUCCAAUUCUCACUUAGGUCAUCAACAUGAUCAAAGGUUGGACAAAUGUUGACAGUGUAACUCUCAGUAUCAACUACUAAGACUUGUAUCCUUUUUAUCUUCAGCUGGUUGGUGGACAUGAAUGAGAGCUACUCAUACAUGGUACUUUUCAGGUCCAAUUUUAUCCCAUACAAGUGUAUAACCAGUUGAGAAUGAUCUCCAACAAGUAAUUCGAAAUUUCCACACCUACUACCCCUGUAAAUGAAUUCAUGAUCAUGUGAGAGGUAGACCAUAUGUGAUAGAGGCGGGAAAUGGACAUCUGAGGAUUUGAAGUGAUUGAUAAUAGAAGUUUAAGUAGUAGGUAUAACAUUAUAAGACUGAAUGACUUGGAACCACCAUUAUGUUGUGCAUUUAUGUAAUUGGGUAUUGCUGUAACUGCAAGAAAAAGUGUGGACAUAGCAACUGGGUAUUGCUUUUUGUACCUUUUCAUCAGAUUUUUCCAUUUAUUUCAAUUUGUGGUCUGUAGGGUUUCUGAUAUUCUUUGUGAUGAUGCUCAAACUUGUGUGUUGAUUUGCAUGUUUGAACUGUAGUUGAAGCCAAUAAAAAAGAACAAGUAGAUGCAAUCCUGAAAUUUUGGUGGGUGCAGAGUCGGAGAAUUUGUUUUCAAGCAUCUUAAUUGGUCUCAUUUUAGUAUCUGUUACUGGUAAUCACAGAUCGAAUCAUGUCUUUCAAGCCAGGUGUAAAAGCUAAGCCUUUAAAGCAACCCAAGGCACAACAGAAAAAAUAUGAUGAGAAUGACUUGGCAAAUCUUCAGAAGAAGAAAAUGGAAGCUUUAUGUUAGGUGGUGCUGGACUAGAGAAAAGUGGAAAGAUCAGAACAAGAUGCUCUAGUAAAGGUGCCAUUAUAAGGAAAUCAAGAAGAUAGAGAUGGAUACGCAUAAUAUGAUUUGAGUGAACAAGUUGUAGGUAAUUUCUUAUUUAUGAAAUUCUUGUAGAAAAUGUAUCCACUACCUAUGCAUGAUGAAGUCCUGUGACAUUGAUGAACAAGAAACCCAAAAUAUGCUCAACUUUGGAUCUCGAAUUGUAGAGACAGGCUUGUUAUCCAUAGUUUAUUUUGUUAAAAUUCGGGCAUCUUACAUAUGUAAUUGUAUUGAUUGAUUGUAUGGAUGGAUCCAUAUGUGAUGCUGCAAUUCUGUAUGUGAUAAUAGAAUUGAUUGUAUAUAUAAUGGUUUCAUAUAUGAUUGGGAAUGGAAUGGUUA